rnacentral:rRNA from 1 species
GAUAUCGCGGACCCGUAAGGGGAAGUCGGUGAUCCUAUGCUGCCAAGAAAAUCUUCUAGCGAGGUUCUAGCCGCCCGUACCCCAAACCGACUCAGGUGGUUAGGUAGAGAAUACCAAGGCGAUCGAGUGAAUCGUGGUUAAGGAAUUCGGCAAAAUACCCCCGUAACUUCGGGAGAAGGGGGGCCCAGAGGGUGACGGGACUUGCUCCCCGAGCCUGAACGGCCGCAGAGACCAGGGAGAAGCGACUGUUUACUAAAAACACAGGUCCGUGCCAAGUCGCAAGACGAUGUAUACGGACUGACGCCUGCCCGGUGCUGGAACGUUAAGGGGACCGGUUAGCCUCACGGCGAAGCUGAGAACUUAAGCGCCAGUAAACGGCGGUGGUAACUAUAACCAUCCUAAGGUAGCGAAAUUCCUUGUCGGGUAAGUUCCGACCUGCACGAAUGGCGUAACGACUUCUCCACUGUCUCAACCACGAACUCGGCGAAAUUGCACUACGAGUAAAGAUGCUCGUUACGCGCAGAAGGACGGAAAGACCCCGGGACCUUUACUACAGCUUGGUAUUGGUGUUCGGUACGGCUUGUGUAGGAUAGGUGGGAGACUGUGAAGCUGACACGCCAGUGUCGGUGGAGUCAACGUUGAAAUACCACUCUGGUCGUUCUGGAUAUCUAACCUAGGUCCGUAAUCCGGAUCAGGGACAGUGCCUGGUGGGUAGUUUAACUGGGGCGGUUGCCUCCUAAAAGGUAACGGAGGCGCCCAAAGGUUCCCUCAGCCUGGUUGGCAAUCAGGUCUCGAGUGUAAGUGCACAAGGGAGCUUGACUGUGAGACUGACAAGUCGAACAGGGACGAAAGUCGGGACUAGUGAUCCGGCGGUGGCUUGUGGAAGCGCCGUCGCUCAACGGAUAAAAGGUACCCCGGGGAUAACAGGCUGAUCUUGCCCAAGAGUCCAUAUCGACGGCAUGGUUUGGCACCUCGAUGUCGGCUCGUCGCAUCCUGGGGCUGGAGUAGGUCCCAAGGGUUGGGCUGUUCGCCCAUUAAAGCGGUACGCGAGCUGGGUUUAGAACGUCGUGAGACAGUUCGGUCCCUAUCCUCUGCGCGCGCAGGAAACUUGAGAAGGGCUGUCCCUAGUACGAGAGGACCGGGAUGGACGAACCUCUGGUGUGUCAGUUGUUCUGCCAAGAGCACCGCUGAUUAGCUACGUUCGGGAGUGAUUACCGCUGAAAGCAUCUAAGCGGGAAGCAUGCUUCAAGAUGAGGUUUCCAUGGGGUUUACCCCGAGAGGCUCCCAGCUAGACUACUGGGUUGAUAGGCCGGAUGUGGAAGUGCGGUAACGCAUGGAGCUGACCGGUACUAAUAAGCCGAUAACUUGACU